AGAACGAACGCUGGCGGCAUGCCUAAUACAUGCAAGUCGAACGAACACUUCGGUGUUAGUGGCGCACGGGUGCGUAACGCGUGGGAAUCUGCCCUUGGGUUCGGAAUAACAGUUGGAAACGACUGCUAAUACCGGAUGAUAUCGAAAGAUCAAAGAUUUAUCGCCCAGGGAUGAGCCCGCGUAGGAUUAGCUAGUUGGUGAGGUAAAGGCUCACCAAGGCGACGACUCCUUAGCUGGUCUGAGAGGAUGAUC
rnacentral:rRNA from 1 species